AUUCCUGAUCUCAGAGCCGAUUAAAAACCACGUUGCACGGCAACUUCGCGCAGAAUCGUCGGUCGUCAUUUCUGCUAUGACCCGGAGACGAAGGUAGGCCGGUGGGCUAACCGAAAUAAGCGAAAGGCAUCCUUUCGUCUGGCAACUUUGAGCCAUCCAGUCCCUUUUUCGAAGGUGAUCAUCUCCGACGCUGGUUCCACAGAAGUAUGUUUAUAUCACGGGCCAGUCGGUAUGCCAUCAGAAUAUCACACAAUGUGUACCCUGAUAGGCAAGUGAAUCUCAAGAAGGACCGCAUCGUGUCCUCCUCUGCAUACUUAUUAUCGACGAUGGGUGUGCUGCUGUCUGCAUUCAGCCUUCACCAAAUGGGAAACCAACAGAAGUGGGAACGUAGCCACUGACUUGCGCGAGGCACCUCAUGAGAAACUUAUGGAAUCUGCCCAUCUGUGCCGCCCACUGUACUUUGGAUUCCUGAAAGCUCAUGAAGUAGUCUUUUUAAUCUUGCUAAUUUUUGUACUAUUGGAUCGCAUCAAGUUAUGAGAAGCAUCAAGGUAGAAGCGUCAAAGCUCAUUAACAUGAAAUACAAGAAGUUAUCGCACA